GUUCUUGUAGUUGAAUAACAACGGUGGUUUUUCAAGUCACAGGUCUAAGUUAGACUCUUAGUGAGAAUA
ensembl:Mt_tRNA